rnacentral:rRNA from 1 species
UUAAAUUGAAGAGUUUGAUCAUGGCUCAGAUUGAACGCUGGCGGCAGGCCUAACACAUGCAAGUCGAGCGGAAACGACACUAACAAUCCUUCGGGUGCGUUAAUGGGCGUCGAGCGGCGGACG